rnacentral:rRNA from 1 species
ACUCCUACGGGAGGCAGCAGUGGGGAAUUUUGGACAAUGGGGGCAACCCCGAUCCAGCCAUGCCGCGUGAGUGAAGAAGGCCUUCGGGUUGUAAAGCUCUUUCGGCCGGGAAGAAAUCGUGUUCUCUAACAUAGGACAUGGAUGACGGUACCGGACUAAGAAGCACCGGCUAACUACGUGCCAGCAGCCGCGGUAAUACGUAGGGUGCGAGCGUUAAUCGGAAUUACUGGGCGUAAAGCGUGCGCAGGCGGUUUUGUAAGACAGAUGUGAAAUCCCCGGGCUUAACCUGGGAACUGCGUUUGUGACUGCAAGGCUAGAGUACGGCAGAGGGGGGUGGAAUUCCUGGUGUAGCAGUGAAAUGCGUAGAUAUCAGGAGGAACACCGAUGGCGAAGGCAGCCCCCUGGGCCUGUACUGACGCUCAUGCACGAAAGCGUGGGGAGCAAACAGGAUUAGAUACCCUGGUAGUC